rnacentral:lncRNA from 10 species
UAGACCGGAGCGUCCUCCAGCGCAGGCAAGGAUUCCUCGUUUAGAGUCAUGUUAUCUUCGAGUACCUAGAGAGACAUUUUAACCCACACCCUAGAGAGGCGUUGUAAUCCUUACGUGUCUUUUAACGCUACUUGGCCCUUACCUGCGAGCAACUGACCUUUAAUAAUCCUCAUUUUCUGUGCCCCGGAAGUGCCUUACCCUCUUCGCGUCUGUUUCCCGGAAGUGGUUCUUCUCCCUCUCCACCCUUUCGCCCGCCUGGGCGGUCCAGCUGCCCCUAGGGGCCAACUCCAGCGGCUAUUUUGGGGCUGGACAUCCCGCAGCUUUUCAAGGCGUGCCUUUGGUUUUUUUAAGAAGUGCUAUCUAAAGGAAAAGCUGGACUAUGACUCUGGGGAACUUUCAUAUCCUCAGUUGACCUUAGGCUGUGUGACCUUGAGCAGGUAGCAUAACCUCUCUGAGUUUCCCGCGUGCCUUAUGUGCAGAUUGAGAUGCUAAAAUGAGAGAGCUAAAUUGGAAAGCUUUUUCCACAUAGGGGGCCGUGAGCAGGUGGCUGUUUUGUCCUCUGGCACCUUUGGCUCAGACUUAAGCAGCUUCAACGACCGCCAAGAUGCCUGCCAUGCCCACCAAGAUUUAAAGGACUCUGAUAAUUCUUUCUCUCCCCAAACGGUGUUUUCCUUAUCUAAUCCUAAUAACCAAGCCUGGAGGAAUCCCUGACUUCGUGAUUGAAGGCUCUCCAGGUCCCCUAGUUUAAGGGCAGAGAUUUACUUUCUCUGAGGCUACAAAGGAGCGUCUGCGAGAAUGUCUCUACCUUAGACAAAACAGGGAGGAGGGGUGGAGCUCUCCAAAUUGCCUCUGGUUUGGGCUUUUUCUUUCUGUUUUGGUGUAUCGUCUCUGGCCAACAACACCUGUGAGUCCUUGAUGUGACGAUUAGGGAAGAUGUUUUUAAUUCACAUAACUAUUCUUUAGAGAAAAUUGAUCCUGAAACACCUUAUUGCCUUAUCGUAGAAUGACUGCAUUACUCAGAAUUCUUUACCUCUACCGGAAUUUAGUGAAGGGAAGGCACAACGUACAUUAGGAAAAUACAGGACACACUCCAGUCCUUAAACCUUCCACAAUCUUCUAGCUCUUUAAGGUCGAGUGUGAUCCUCCCCAGAACUGCAUCUUCCAGGAAGCUCAUGAGAAAGGAAGGAUCCCAGGUCCCAUCUCUGAUCUGAGUCGGCAUCUGCGUUUUAACAGAAUCCUGAAGCAGUGGUCUAACUCCUUUGGUGGUGUUAUUGUUUGCAUGUAUACCUCCAAAAUUCACAUAUUGAAAUACUAACCCCCAAGGUGAUAGUAUUAGGAGGUGGGGCCUUUGGGAGGUAAUUAAGUCAUGAGGGUGAAGCCCUCAUGAAUGGGAUUAGUACUCUUAGAAAAGGGACCCCAGAGAGGUCUCUUUCCACCAUGUAAGGAUAAAAGUACACGGAGAAGAUGGCAAUCUGCAAACUGGAAAAGGGCCCUCCUCAGAACCUGACCAUCUUGGCACCUUGAUCUCAGACUUCCAUCUUCCAGAACUGUGAGAAAUAAAUUUCUUUUAUAAACACUCAGUCAAUGCUACUUUAUUAUAGCAGCCUGAAUGGAUUAAGACAGGUGGUCUGGUUUAAAGUGAUGUGGUGGCAUCAGAAGUUUAAGGAGAGACUGGAUUUACAGAACCAGAAUCUGGGAUGCUGUUUACAGAGCAAGUUAUUUCCUGCAUUUGGACACUGUCAGCAGGUCGAUUCAGGAGACAGGUGAAAACUUUAUCACCGGGCAGCCUGGAUGAACACCACAACUUUGAUAUCUUUCACUUAAAGGAAAGAUAAGGGCAUCCACUAUUUCUACACCUGGCUGGCAGAGUGAGAGCUCACCAAAGGACUUACAAAUUCAUGGACUAUUAUGAAGACAAGUUAAGAGAUUGUGUCCUCCAAACUCAUCAUUUUUCAGGUCCAGUUCUGAAUCUCGUUAGCAAGUUCAAAGCAAGGCCAAGAAGAUGCAAUUCCCACUGGAAACCUUAUGAGACAGUUAGAAGGGAAGGGGAGCA